rnacentral:rRNA from 1 species
GAUGAACGCUGGCGGCGUGCCUAAUACAUGCAAGUCGAGCGAACAGACGAGGAGCUUGCUCCUCUGACGUUAGCGGCGGACGGGUGAGUAACACGUGGAUAACCUACCUAUAAGACUGGGAUAACUUCGGGAAACCGGAGCUAAUACCGGAUAAUAUAUUGAACCGCAUGGUUCAAUAGUGAAAGACGGUUUUGCUGUCACUUAUAGAUGGAUCCGCGCCGCAUUAGCUAGUUGGUAAGGUAACGGCUUACCAAGGCGACGAUUCGUAGCCGACCUGAGAGGGUGAUCGGCCACCCUGGAACUGAGACACGGUCCAGACUCCUACGGGAGGCAGCAGUAGGGAAUCUUCCGCAAUGGGCGAAAGCCUGACGGAGCAACGCCGCGUGAGUGAUGAAGGUCUUCGGAUCGUAAAACUCUGUUAUUAGGGAAGAACAAAUGUGUAAGUAACUAUGCACGUCUUGACGGUACCUAAUCAGAAAGCCACGGCUAACUACGUG